CUACGGGAGGCAGCAGUGGGGAAUCUUGGACAAUGGGCGCAAGCCUGAUCCAGCCAUGCCGCGUGAGUGAAGAAGGCCUUAGGGUUGUAAAACUCUUUCGCCGGAGAAGAUAAUGACGGUAUCCGGAGAAGAAGCCCCGGCUAACUUCGUGCCAGCAGCCGCGGUAAUACGAAGGGGGCUAGCGUUGUUCGGAAUUACUGGGCGUAAAGCGCACGUAGGCGGAUUUGUAAGUAGGGGGUGAAAUCCCAGGGCUCAACCCUGGAACUGCCUUCUAGACUGCAAGUCUGGAGAUCAGGAGAGGCGAGUGGAAUACCGAGUGUAGAGGUGAAAUUCGUAGAUAUUCGGUGGAACACCAGUGGCGAAGGCGACUCGCUGGACUGAUACUGACGCUGAGGUGCGAAAGCGUGGGGAGCAAACAGGAUUAGAAACCCGAGUAGUCC
rnacentral:rRNA from 1 species